rnacentral:rRNA from 1 species
GAUGAACGCUGGCGGCGUGCCUAAUACAUGCAAGUCGAGCGAACAGACGAGGAGCUUGCUCCUCUGACGUUAGCGGCGGACGGGUGAGUAACACGUGGAUAACCUACCUAUAAGACUGGGAUAACUUCGGGAAACCGGAUCUAAUACCGGAUAAUAUAUUGAACCGCAUGGUUCAAUAGUGAAAGACGGUUUUGCUGUCACUUAUAGAUGGAUCCGCGCCGCAUUAGCUAGUUGGUAAGGUAACGGCUUACCAAGGCAACGAUGCGUAGCCGACCUGAGAGGAUGAUCGGCCACACUGGAACUGAGACACGGUCCAGACUCCUACGGGAGGCAGCAGUAGGGAAUCUUCCGCAAUGGGCGAAAGCCUGACGGAGCAACGCCGCGUGAGUGAUGAAGGUCUUCGGAUCGUAAAGCUCUGUUAGUAGGGAAGAACAAAUGUGUAAGUAAAUAUGCACGUCUUGACGGUACCUAAUCAGAAAGCCACGGCUAACUACGUG